rnacentral:lncRNA from 1 species
CUCCACAUGAGCCUCUGCUGCGUCGGUUUCAUCACGGCUCUUCUCGUCUUUGGCAAGCUCUACCAUUAAAAAUCUGCUAACCAACCGACAGAAUCGAGCUUAUUGAUGGUAAAUCUAGUUUGCUCUAUUUUAUUUUAUUUUAUAAUUUUAUUCCUUUUUUGGUUUUUUUCUCUCUAAAUGAUGGCUUAAAUCAGGACUUGGUUGGUUUUUACGGAUGAGCCUUUGGUUCUCAAUUGUGUUUAUUUGUUAAUCAUUGAUUUUAUUAUUUUGAUUAAAUUGUUACUACUUUUAAAAUUUUAACUUUUCGUUAAAAUUAAUGCAAUGUGAUACCAAUUAGGGAUAUAACAUAAAGAUUAGUGUAUUUACUCUUAUAAAAAGAGGGUGUCUUAUUGGUUAGAAAUGAAUCCAUGUGCGUUAAAGAUUUGGAGUUUUUUUUACUGGACAAGAAAUGUCUUCCUUUGGUUGUUCAUUUCUAUAAUGUUUAUCAAUGAAUAUGGUUUCAAAUAAGGACACUAGUUCAUGUUUAGAUUCAGAAUAGGGGCGUUAUUCUCGAUAAUUUCUUUGGCGAUGAUUUAGAAAGAAAAUUUUGGAACUAUUAACAUGUCUAUCUUCAUCUAUUUGUUUUAUGUGGGUGCGAUUAGCACUUAGUCUGUGUGGCUUUGCCCUGAUUCUGCUAUAAAACUGGUGUGAGCUACUUAACUUUAUGGUGAAGUUGCAUUAGAAUCCAACGAGCGUUUAACUCCUAUAUUUGAAUAUUGAUAAUUUCUCUGUUCUUUAAGGUAUUUUCAUAUUGUUUUAUAUUCCUUUUUGCUUGUUUUCAUAAUUUGUAUUUUUAGAUUUAAGAAAUGUACUUGGCUGCUUCUAUUGAGCAGUGAUCUAGUAAUAGGAGUAUUAUUUUACUAUUUUUUUCUAAUUGUUAUAGUGAACUUUUUCAGUAGUAGUAUAUAUUUGAUUGUGAAUAAAUGUCCGUGGUUUGUAAUUGUUCUGUCCUUGUCUAUUAUGAGUCAACUUGGCUAUGAAAAGUCAUGACUUUGAGAUAAUAAACUAUUAGAUUCAGAUUGAGGUUUUAUUAUGAGUCAACUCUAUUUCUUAACGAGUCAAAUUAACUUAGUUAAUUUGCAGGUUAGUUGUGAGUUAUUGAAAUUUGAGUGAAACAACAUACUUUUUUCGUCUAUGGCAUUUAGAAUGGGUGCUCACUCACUACUUUUCCCUACUUUUUAAGCCCAUACUUUGAUUCAACAACCAUUUUGAUGGUUUUAUUAAUAGCUGCAUUAAAUAAUCUGUUAGUUGGUGCCAUGAGUAGUCAACAUUGGAACACUUUCGUGUGAUUUUCAGCUGUCCCCAGUGAGUUGAGUUUAAGCAACUAGUUACACUUGUUAAGCAUUUAAUUGUAAUUCAGAUAUUGAUAUAUUGCACCCAGGGGCCCAAUGACGCCUUAAAUAUUACCAUGUUUUGUCAGUUCGGGUCAACUUUCUUAGGAUCUCAAGUAUAUUGAAAUAGUUGUAUGACUUUCUUGCUUAUGCUCAACUGCUGCCAAGCUGGAUCAAUAUCUUAAAAUAUCUAUCUCUUAUUUCUUUUUUCAUUUCUUUUAAGGUUUUUGGUUAAUUAUCAGUGGUCUUUCAUAUAGUUUAUCUUAUUCUAGUUUAUUUACCCCUUUUUUUUGGAUGGAAAAUCCCCUCAAUGACUAUUUUAUACAACCUGGUGCUGUCCAAUUUUGGCCAGUGAGGUGCAUGUUGAUUGGCCUCACUAUUUAUGACAAAUGAACCUCAUUUUAGAGUAUAAAAACUUCUCCAACUGAUAUCCAACCCUGUUGGCAUCUUGUGUUAAAAAUUGAAUAAGCAUAUCUAAUAUUUUAUAUCUUUUGGGCCAACAGUAUAAAGAACUACUAGUAUUCCCAACUUGUCACUAUAUGGCAGGUGUAGCAGUUUUAUGGGUGUUAUCCAUCCUCUUCAUAUAACCAUUUUAAGCCCUCAAGGACCAUGAAGAGACAUGUCUAGGAGGUUUUCAGACAGUAAGUAAAGAAAAUUUUGUGUUCAUGUCCAUUGUUGUUGACUAAUUUUAAGAUUUUCUGUUCAUGUCUAUUGUUGUUGAAUAUAUAUAU